rnacentral:ncRNA from 1 species
CAAACAGCGAGGAAGAGACCAAGUAGGCAGGUGCAUAAGCCUCCAGAGAGCGUUUGGCUGGUGAAAAAACGCAGGCGGGCAGGCUGCUGAAUACAGCUCGGAGCUGCGCGGCCCAAAAGCCGUGCCGGGGACGCCCGUUACAGCGUCUGGGUAUGUUGGUACCCGCUGAGGCUGUUUUCGUGAGAAAAUGGCAAAUAGAGGUGGUAACGCGGUUUUUCGCCCUCUGU